GUGCCAGCCGCCGCGGUAAUACGUAGGGUGCAAGCGUUGUCCGGAAUUAUUGGGCGUAAAGAGCUCGUAGGCGGUCUGUCGCGUCUGCUGUGAAAACCUAGGGCUUAACUCUGGGCGUGCAGUGGGUACGGGCAGGCUAGAGUGCGGUAGGGGAGACUGGAAUUCCUGGUGUAGCGGUGAAAUGCGCAGAUAUCAGGAGGAACACCGGUGGCGAAGGCGGGUCUCUGGGCCGUAACUGACGCUGAGGAGCGAAAGCAUGGGGAGCGAACAGGAUUAGAUACCCUGGUAGUCC
rnacentral:rRNA from 1 species